CUCUGCUGAUAAAGCCCCUUCUCUCCUCAGCUUUCAGAGCGCCUUUCACUUCUGGAGGGGCCCUGCCUGACUCUACCAGCUACAAAUGUGUUCUCAUUUAAAACAAAGCACGGCUGUGUGACUUGAAAAGUAACCAAGGUCACACUCUCUAUUUUCUGGCUUGGUAACUGUGGAAUCGUGUGGAGACGUUGGACUCAUGCGGGAGAACCACGCUACCGACUGACACUGAACCUGAAGCAUGGCAAGAAAUACACUGUGACGUGUUAGGCACUCAACGGUUUCUGGCAGGGUUCACUGCCGUAGAAUAACCGAGACUAUAACAAGGGACGCACUGGCAGACCCGCGCUCUCUGCUCUGCCCCGCGAUCUACUGCCUAUCGCUUGCUACUUUUGGCAUCUCAAUUAUCCCAGCUUUAUAAAUACUGAUAGCUAAAAAGAAGUCCCUCCGAUCUCAACCUAUUCUCAAACUUUAAAUGGGUAAGAAGCCCGGCUCGCUGGCGCGGAGCCAGGCAUGGAAUGCGAGUGCC